rnacentral:sRNA from 1 species
GUUUGUGGGUAACCCGGACGUGGAAGAACCUAGUCUGCGGAGGAAAAGGUAGAUGUUAAAUGGUAACUACGCGCGAGGUUCUGAGGAUCCCUGGGAACAGGAAGGAGAAAAGAAUACCAAAAGUGACAACAGUUUGCCAAUCGCAGUCUUUAAUCUGAUAAAGCGGUUAUCUCGUCUUGAGUCCCAGGUGCGGGUCAAUCCCCAUACACAGCCGCCGCCAUUGCCUCGAGUCCUUGUGUCUGACUGUCUGUUCCUGCUGCUGUAUGACACAGCAUCUCGAGGCAAGGAAAUAAGAAAACUGCCUCUGAUCCAAGCAGAGAAGAACUCCUGUAGCCUGUAAUACCAGCUGUGGGUACUACUCUCAGUGUUGGAGAUCAUCAAAAUACAAUUGGACCAGACCCUUUGGAAAUAAUUCUGUGUCUCAAAUGCCCUGUGGAGCACACACUUAAUCAGUUGAUGGCUAUGGAAUUUUCCAACAUCAGCUAAAGAGAAGGGCCUACUUUAAGCCUGGCCAGUUCUGCAAGAAAGGCAAGGAGGAGGAGACUGGCUCACAGCUCUGGAGGACCCCCUUCU